GUAGGCGGUUUAAUAAGUGAAUAGUGAAACCUGGUGGCUCAACCAUACAGACUAUUAUUCAAACUGUUAAACUCGAGAAUGGUAGAGGUAACNUGGAAUUUCUAGUGUAGGAGUGAAAUCCGUAGAUAUUAGAAGGAACACCGAUGGCGUAGGCAGGUUACNUGGGCCAUUUCUGACGCUAAGGCACGAAAGCGUGGGGAGCGAACCGGAUUAGAUACCCGGGUAGUCCACGCCGUAAACGAUGGAUACUAGCUGUUGGAGGUAUCGACCCCUUCAGUAGCGAAGCUAACGCGUUAAGUAUCCCGCCUGUGGAGUACGGCCGCAAGGCUAAAACAUAAAGGAAUUGACGGGGACCCGCACAAGCGGUGGAUUAUGUUCUUUAAUUCGAUGAUAACCGAAGAACCUUACCAGGGCUUGACAUCCAGGGAAGGUCUGCGAAAGUAGACUGUGCCUUUUGGAACCCUGUGACAGGUGAUGCAUGGCCGUCGUCAGCUCGUGUCGUGAGAUGUUAGGUUAAGUCCUUCAACGAGCGCAACCCUUGUGAAUAGUUGUAUUUUUCUAUUCAGACUGCCCCGGUAACGGGGAGGAAGGAGGGGGAUGAUGUCAGGUCAGUAUUUCCCUUACGUCCUGGGCUAGAAACGUAAUACAAUGGCUAGUACAAUGCGCAGCGAAGCCGCGAGGAAGCCGA
rnacentral:rRNA from 1 species